rnacentral:rRNA from 1 species
CUUGGUCAUUUAGAGGAAGUAAAAGUCGUAACAAGGUUUCCGAGGUGAACCUGCGGAAGGAUCAUUAAAGAAUGCCCCGUUUUUUGAAAUGGUUCUAUUCCCAAACCGUGUAUACAUACCUUUGUUGCUUUGGCAGGCCGCUUCGGGCGUUGGCUCACGCUGACCGCGCCUGCCAGAGGACCCAAACUCUUUGUUUAGUGAUGUCUGAGUACUAUAUAAUAGUUAAAACUUUCAACAAGGAUCUCUUGGUUCUGGCAUCGAUGAAGAACGCAGCGAAAUGCGAUAAGAAUGUGAAUUGCAGAAUUCAGUGAAUCAUCGAAUCUUUGAACGCACAUUCGCCCCUUGGUAUUCCGAGGGGCAUGCCUGUUCGAGCGUCAUUAUGACCCUCAAGCCUAGCUUGGUAUUGGGGUUCGCGGUCUCGCGGCCCUUAAAAUAGUGGCGGUGCCGUCUGGCUCUAAGCGUAGUAAUACUUCUCGCUAUAGGUCCAGUCGUUUACCCGCCAGAACCCCCAACUUUCUUAGGUUGACCUCGGUCAGGUAGGGAUACCCGCUGAACUUAAGCAUAUCAAUAAGCGGAGG